AUUGGUAAUAAAAUCAAUUAUGGAAUAAUUGGUUACGAUUUUUCUCUCAAUAACUAACUUAGUGGGAAGUUGUGAUCAGUUAUGAUAACUGAUAGAUAAAAUGAAAAUUGUUUUCAUUUUUACAUAAGGCGAUCAUUAAGCGAUUGAGAAUCGUACGAUCAAAAGAAUUAGCUAUACGAUAGCUUGAGAGCAUACAUGAUCGUGCAACGAGUUUUCUAUACAAUAGUCAUUUGUUUUCUAAACGAUCAAGUACUUAGUCUAUACGAUAGAUUAUAGUCAUCUCCCACAUACUCGAUCAUCUAUACGAUCUAUCUAAUUCCUCCUACCCUCUAUCAAAUCCUGGAUUCUCACAUCGAGAAUACCAAGGUAGCCUGCUGGUGGUGUCUAUUUCCUGUUCGAGGGUCAAGUGGGAUUUGUUCUUGUUCGAGGAGAUUGCUGAGGCCUGACGUUCGUAUUGGUGAGUGAUCGUGCAAUAAGAUCGAGGAAACGAGAAGAAUAGUUCUUCAAGGGACCCUACAAGAUUUAGGGCAUUAACCCUAACAGGUCACUCUAGGACGACACGCAGACAAACAAUAGGAAUCUCACGGUGCAAACUAAUGGAGGAGACCGUAGGAUACGUUGACACACGUCUCUCUCCCAGUUACUACAAGUACUUUCCUUAUUCACCUUGUUAUUAACUUAUGCAAACACUUUCCAAAGGGAGGUCGCGCCCAGAGCGACACGAAGACGAGCAUGGAUCUCAUGGUGUGAACUCUCAGAGACGUGAGAGCUGAAACUUGAUAUAUCACAUAUACCAAUUUCCUCCCACUAAAUUAUUCUAAUGUUUUUAGGAUUUUAUUAUAUUUAGUUAAUACCUGGCUAAUGAAUUAUCUAAGUCAUUUUAAUUUGCUUAAUAUAACAUUUAUAUUGAAGGAUUUAAUAAUACUUGAUUUCAUUUA